AACGUGUCCUGUAGUGGGGGAUAGCUUGGCGAAAGCCGGAUUAAUACCGCAUACGAUCUACGGAAGAAAGCGGGGGAUCGCAAGACCUCGCGCUAUAGGGGCGGCCGAUGGCAGAUUAGCUAGUUGGUGGGGUAAAGGCCUACCAAGGCGACGAUCUGUAGCUGGUCUGAGAGGACGACCAGCCACACUGGGACUGAGACACGGCCCAGACUCCUACGGGAGGCAGCAGUGGGGAAUUUUGGACAAUGGGGGAAACCCUGAUCCAGCAAUGCCGCGUGUGUGAAGAAGGCCUUCGGGUUGUAAAGCACUUUUGUCCGGAAAGAAAACUUUUUUUUUUAAUACUGUGAGGGGAUGACGGUACCGGAAGAAUAAGCACCGGCUAACUACGUGCCAGCAGCCGCGGUAAUACGUAGGGGUGCGAGCGUUAAUCCGGAAUUACUGGGCGUAAAGCGUGC
rnacentral:rRNA from 1 species